rnacentral:rRNA from 1 species
UACGUAGGGUGCAAGCGUUGCCCGGAUUUAUUGGGCGUAAAGGGCGCGUAGGCGGCCCGGCGCGUCCGCGGUGAAAGCUCCCGGCUCAACUGGGAGAGGUCCGCGGAAACGGUCGGGCUGGAGCAAGGUAGGGGGUCGUGGAAUUCCCGGUGUAGUGGUGAAAUGCGUAGAGAUCGGCAGGAACACCCAGGGGGAAACCGAGUCGACUGGGCAG